rnacentral:rRNA from 1 species
AAUUGCAUAUCCAAAAAGCGGAGGAAAAGAAACCAACAGGGAUUGCCCUAGUAACGGCGAGUGAAGCGGCAACAGCUCAAAUUUGAAAGCUAGCCUUCGGGUUCGCAUUGUAAUUUGUAGAGGAUACUUUGGGUAAAACGCCAGUCUAAGUUCCUUGGAACAGGACGUCAUAGAGGGUGAGAAUCCCGUAUGUGACUGGAAACGUUGACCUAUGUAAAGUUCCUUCGACGAGUCGAGUUGUUUGGGAAUGCAGCUCUAAAUGGGAGGUAAAUUUCUUCUAAAGCUAAAUAUUGGCGAGAGACCGAUAGCGCACAAGUAGAGUGAUCGAAAGAUGAAAAGCACUUUGGAAAGAGAGUUAAAAAGCACGUGAAAUUGUUGAAAGGGAAGCGCUUGCAAUCAGACUUGUUUAAACUGUUCGGCCGGUCUUCUGACCGGUUUACUCAGUUUGGACAGGCCAGCAUCAGUUUCGGCGGCCGGAUAAAGGCUCUGGGAAUGUGGCCUCCACUUCGGUGGAGGUGUUAUAGCCCAGUGUGUAAUACGGCCAGCCGGGACUGAGGUCCGCGCUCGGCUAGGAUGCUGCGUAAAGCGCCCG